ACGGGGUUUGGCUGUGGAAGCGCACGAAAGGGUUCAACUUACCUUCACGGACGACGAGCUCUGUUGUUGCCUCCGAUCGGAGAGAGGGGAGAGCCGUCGAAGGGAGCUAAACCGCACAGCUACGAAGAGCCGAAGACACGUGUGAUAGGGAGAAAGUUAACUUCACACGAUGAGCUCCCGUUCGUGCUAGCGACCAGAAUGUCGUGACUUUCGGUCGGACAGGAAGGAAUGACGUCGAAGGAGCGACGUUGACUAGCCUCGAGGGAGCCGGAGAAGAAGUGAGAGGGCUCCGGUCGUGAUUCCGAUCCAGAUUGAUGUCGUAACUUCCGGACUGACAGGAAGGGAAAGUCGUCGAGCAAACGAAGUCGAUCAACGAGAGAGGGAGAGGAAGAGAGAACGGGCUCGGGAGAGGAGGAAAAGAGCUCGGGAGGGUGAAGAAGGCCGAAGGUCUCCUUUUUCGUGGCCAUUUGACGACGCGAGCUUGUCGUGGGGAGAAAAGACGGGUCGUGCAAAGAAGCGACGCUCGAUCUUGCGACGACGUGGGGAUGACAGAGGGCAGAUCAAGGUAAGGGAGCAUGAAUGAGAUAUUGACCAGGAUCCUUCAAGUUCAGGUUCUUAUUAUUUUAACUAUACAUUUGUACUCAUGACAGAGUAUUUGUGAUAUGAUUAUAUAGAUCCUGAAUAGUGAACAUGAUUUUUGGGGAAAUGAAUACAUAUAUGUAUAUUGAUGUUUUGAUCGAUA